GAUGAACGCUGGCGGCGUGCCUAAUACAUGCAAGUCGAGCGAACAGAUAAGGAGCUUGCUCCUUUGACGUUAGCGGCGGACGGGUGAGUAACACGUGGGUAACUUAUCUAUAAGACUGGAAUAACUCCGGGAAACCGGGGCUAAUGCAGGAUAACAUGUUGAACCGCAUGGUUCUACAGUGAAAGGCGGCUUUGCUGUCACUUAUAGAUGGACCCGCGCCGUAUUAGCUAGUUGGUGAGGUAACGGCUCACCAAGGCAACGAUACGUAGCCGACCUGAGAGGGUGAUCGGCCACACUGGAACUGAGACACGGUCCAGACUCCUACGGGAGGCAGCAGUAGGGAAUCUUCCGCAAUGGGCGAAAGCCUGACGGAGCAACGCCGCGUGAGUGAUGAAGGUCUUCGGAUCGUAAAACUCUGUUAUUAGGGAAGAACAAAUGCGUAAGUAACUGUGCGCGUCUUGACGGUACCUAAUCAGAAAGCCACGGCUAACUACGUGCCAGCAGCCGCGGUAAUACGUAGGUGGCAAGCGUUAUCCGGAAUUAUUGGGCGUAAAGCGCGCGUAGGCGGUUUUUUAAGUCUGAUGUGAAAGCCCACGGCUCAACCGUGGAGGGUCAUUGGAAACUGAAAAACUUGAGUGCAGAAGAGGAAAGUGGAAUUCCAUGUGUAGCGGUGAAAUGCGCAGAGAUAUGGAGGAACACCAGUGGCGAAGGCGACUUUCUGGUCUGUAACUGACGCUGAUGUGCGAAAGCGUGGGGAUCAAACAGGAUUAGAUACCCUGGUAGUCCACGCCGUAAACGAUGAGUGCUAAGUGUUAGGGGGUUUCCGCCCCUUAGUGCUGCAGCUAACGCAUUAAGCACUCCGCCUGGGGAGUACGGCCGCAAGGCUUAAACUCAAAGGAAUUGACGGGGACCCGCACAAGCGGUGGAGCAUGUGGUUUAAUUCGAAGCAACGCGAAGAACCUUACCAAAUCUUGACAUCC
rnacentral:rRNA from 1 species